rnacentral:rRNA from 1 species
CUGGCGGCGUGCCUAACACAUGCAAGUCGAGCGGGGUCCAUCCGGUAGCAAUACCGGGGAAGACCUAGCGGCGAACGGGUGAGUAACACGUGAGAAACCUGCCCCGAAGUCUGGGAUAACCCGAGGAAACUCGAGCUAAUACCGGAUGUCUUCUUCUGAUCGCAUGGUCGGAUGAAGAAAGAUUUAUCGCUUCGGGAGGGUCUCGCGGCCUAUCAGCUAGUUGGCGGGGUAACGGCCCACCAAGGCGUCGACGGGUAGCUGGUCUGAGAGGACGAUCAGCCACACUGGGACUGAGACACGGCCCAGACUCCUACGGGAGGCAGCAGUGGGGAAUAUUGCGCAAUGGGCGAAAGCCUGACGCAGCAACGCCGCGUGCGGGAUGAAGGCCUUCGGGUUGUAAACCGCUUUCAGUGGGGACGAAUUCAGACGGUACCCACAGAAGAAGCCCCGGCCAACUACGUG